CUACGGGUGGCAGCAGUGAGGAAUAUUGCACAAUGGGGGGAACCCUGAUGCAGCAACGCCGCGUGGAGGAUGACGCAUUUCGGUGUGUAAACUCCUUUUAUAUGUCAAGAAAAUGACGGUAGCAUAUGAAUAAGCACCGGCUAACUCCGUGCCAGCAGCCGCGGUAAUACGGAGGGUGCAAGCGUUAAUCGGAAUCACUGGGCGUAAAGGACGCGUAGGCGGGUUGGAAAGUCAGGUGUGAAAUCCUACAGCUUAACUGUAGAACUGCACUUGAAACUUCUAAUCUAGAGUAUGGGAGGGGGAGAUGGAAUUAGUGGUGUAGGGGUAAAAUCCGUAGAUAUCACUAGGAAUACCUAAAGCGAAGGCGAUCUCCUGGAACAUUACCGACGCUAAGGCGUGAAAGCGUGGGGAGCAAACAGGAUUAGAUACCCCGGUAGUC
rnacentral:rRNA from 1 species